rnacentral:rRNA from 1 species
UAGGGAAUCUUCCACAAUGGACGCAAGUCUGAUGGAGCAACGCCGCGUGAGUGAAGAAGGUUUUCGGACCGUAAAGCUCUGUUGUUGGUGAAGAAGGAUAGAGGUAGUAACUGGCCUUUAUUUGACGGUAAUCAACCAGAAAGUCACGGCUAACUACGUGCCAGCAGCCACGGUAAUACGUAGGUGGCAAGCGUUGUCCGGAUUUAUUGGGCGUAAAGCGAGCGCAGGCGGAAGAAUAAGUCUGAUGUGAAAGCCCUCGGCUUAACCGAGGAAUUGCAUCGGAAACUGUUUUUCUUGAGUGCAGAAGAGGAGAGUAGAACUCCAUGUGUAGCGGUGGAAUGCGUAGAUAUAUGGAAGAAUACCAGUGGCGAAGGCGGCUCUCUGGUCUGCAACUGACGCUGAGGCUCGAAAGCAUGGGUAGCGAACAGGAUUAGAUACCCUGGUAGUCCAUGCCGUAAACGAUGAGUGCUAAAGUGUUGGGAGGCUUCCGCCUCUCAGUGCUGCAGCUAACGCAUUAAGCACUCCGCCUGGGGGAGUACGACCGCAAG